rnacentral:rRNA from 1 species
UAUGACACUUAGGUCGGCGAGGUUAGGCCGCAAUCCGGACGGGCCGCAAGGCCGUGGCUAAGGUGAGUAAGGCGACGGCAACCAACCCCGGAGUUGGCAAUAGCCGCGGGAAACUGCGGGUAAUAGCCAGCGUGUGGGCCUCCGACAUCGGAGGCCCUCCAAAGGUGCGAUUCCGCUCAGGGACGGGCCGUCGUGGUAUUAGGUCGUUGGCGGGGUAGCGGCCCACCAAGCCUGCGAUGCCUACCGGGCGUGCGAGCGCGGCCCGGCACACUGGGACUGAGACACUGCCCAGACUCCUACGGGAGGCUGCAGUCGAGAAUCUUCGGCAAUGGGCGCAAGCCUGACCGAGCGACGCCGCGUGGAGGACGAAGGCCUUCGGGUUGUAAACUCCUGUCGAGGGGGACCAAGGGGGCGUGAAGAACGCCCCUCGAGAGAUCCCUGGAGGAAGCACGGGCUAAGUUCGUGCCAGCAGCCGCGGUAAGACGAACCGUGCGAACGUUAUUCGGAAUCAUUGGGCUUAAAGGGCGCGUAGGCGGGUCGGCGCGUCGGAACUGAAAUCCCCCGGCUCAACCGGGGAACGGGCUCCGAUACGGUUGACCUCGAGGUGAGAAGAGGGACCUGGAACGUCCGGUGGAGCGGUGAAAUGCGUUGAGAUCGGACGGAACGCCGAUGGCGAAAGCAGGGUCCUGGGCUCAUAACUGACGCUGAGGCGCGAAAGCCAGGGGAGCGAACGGGAUUAGAUACCCCGGUAGUCCUGGCCGUAAACGAUGGGCACUUGGCCGCGGGCUCGCCGAUGGGCACGCCGCCGCAGCGAAAGCGCAAGUGCCCCGCCUGGGGAGUAUGGUCGCAAGGCUGAUACUCAGA